UACGUAGGGGGCUAGCGUUGUCCGGAAUCAUUGGGCGUAAAGAGCGUGUAGGCGGUCCGGUAAGUCCGCUGUGAAAGUCGGGGGGCUCAACCCUCGAAUGCCGGUGGAUACUGUCGGGCUAGAGUGCGGAAGAGGCGAGUGGAAUUCCUGGUGUAGCGGUGAAAUGCGCAGAUAUCAGGAGGAACACCAAUGGCGAAGGCAGCUCGCUGGGACGUGACUGACGCUGAGACGCGAAAGCGUGGGGAGCAAACAGG
rnacentral:rRNA from 1 species